rnacentral:piRNA from 2 species
UUAACCAAGAGAGGACAAGACUGA